AACGAACGCUGGCGGCAGGCCUAACACAUGCAAGUCGAGCGCCCCGCAAGGGGCGCGGCGGACGGGUGAGUAACGCGUGGGGAUAUGCCCUUUGCUACGGAAUAGUCUCGGGAAACUGGGGGUAAUACCGUAUACGCCCUUUGGGGGAAAGAUUUAUCGGCGAAGGAUUAGCCCGCGUUGGAUUAGGUAGUUGGUGGGGUAAUGGCCUACCAAGCCGACGAUCCAUAGCUGGUUUGAGAGGAUGAUCAGCCACACUGGGACUGAGACACGGCCCAGACUCCUACGGGAGGCAGCAGUGGGGAAUCUUAGACAAUGGGGGCAACCCUGAUCUAGCCAUGCCGCGUGAGUGAUGAAGGCCUUAGGGUUGUAAAGCUCUUUCAGCUGGGAAGAUAAUGACGGUACCAGCAGAAGAAGCUCCGGCUAACUCCGUG
rnacentral:rRNA from 1 species